rnacentral:rRNA from 1 species
UACGAAGGAUCCUAGCGUUGUCCGGAUUUACUGGUUAAGGAGCGUAGGCGGACUUUAAGUCAGUGGUGAAAGCCUGCAGCUUAACUGUAGAUUGCCAUUGAACUGAUGUCUCGAGUGCGGUGAGGUCACUGGAAUGUAUCAUGUAGCGUGAAUGCUAGAUAUGAUACAGAACACCGAUUGCGAGGCGGUGACUAAGCCGUACUGACGCUGAGCUCGAAAGCGUGGGGAGUCAAACAGG